rnacentral:rRNA from 1 species
UACGAAGGGGGGCGAGCGUUGUUCGGAUUUACUGGGCGUAAAGCGCACGUAGGCGGCUUUGUAAGUUAGAGGUGAAAGCCCGGGGCUCAACUCCGGAAUUGCCUUUAAGACUGCAUCGCUAGAAUUGUGGAGAGGUAAGUGGAAUUCCGAGUGUAGAGGUGAAAAUUCGUAGAUAUUCGGAAGAACACCAGUGGCGAAGGCGACUUACUGGACACAUAUUGACGCUGAGGUG